rnacentral:rRNA from 1 species
CGAACAGGAUUAGAUACCCCUGGUAGUCUACGCAGUAAACGAUGGUUACUAGCUGUUCGGUCUAAUUGAGGGCUGAGUGGUUAACCGAAAGUGAUAAGUAACCCACCUGGGGAGUACGUUUCGCCAAAGAAUGAAACUCAAAGGAAUUGACGGGGGCUCGCACAAGCGGUGGAGCAUGUGGUUUAAUUCGAUGAUACGCGAGGAACCUUACCAGGGCUUAAAUGCAUAUUGACAGGGGUGGAAACACCUUUUUCUUCGGACAAUUUGCAAGUUGCUGCAUGGUUGUCGUCAGCUCGUGCCGUGAGGUGUCAGGUUAAGUCCUAUAACGAGCGCAACCCCUAUGGUUAGUUGCUAGCAGGUCAUGCUGAGAACUCUAGCCAGACUGCCGGUGUAAACCGCGAGGAAGGUGGGGAUGACGUCAAAUCAUCACGGCCCUUACGUCCUGGGGCUACACACGUGCUACAAUGGUAUGUACAAUGAGCAGCCACUACGCGAGUAGGCGCAAAUCUCAAAAGCAUAUCACAGUUCGGAUCGGAGUCUGCAACUCGACUCCGUGAAGCCGGAAUCGCUAGUAAUCGCACAUCAGCCGUGGUNCGGUGAUACGUUCCCGGGCAUGUACACACCGCCCGUCAAGCCAUGGAAGCUGGGAGUG